GGCCGAGACGAGUGCGGUCGUCCCUACUGCAUUGAAUGCAAACCUAUUUCACGCUCGACUGAUUUCUCAAGUCGUUCAUAAGCGAUUUACUAUUUUCGCAUACUUCUAUUAGUGCUAGUAACACUUUACUACUGCAAGAUCAGUGUUAAUUAUAAUUAUUUCAACCCCUUGACCGGGGUUUUUAUGCCGGGCAUAAUAUUAAGGGCAGACUACACCACGCUCAAGCAAGAAAGAAGCCAACUGAAGCUGUCAAACACCUACCUCAGGCCAGUGUUGGAACUGCUUAACCGUCCCGGUGAUACCAAAUUACUUUUAAUAAGAAAGAACCUGACCCUGAGACUAUUUAAUUUUAGAUUUUUAUUAUUAAGAGAUAAUUGCAGAAGUUCAAUAAACUUAUUAUUUUGUU